AUUGAACGCUGGCGGCAGGCCUAACACAUGCAAGUCGAACGAGUGGCGGACGGGUGAGUAAUGUCUGGGAAACUGCCUGAUGGAGGGGGCUAACUACUGGAAACGGUAGCUAAUACCGCAUACCCUCAGAUGUGCCCAUGUGGGAUUAGCUAGUUGGUGGGGUAACGGCUCACCAAGGCGACGAUCCCUAGCUGGUCUGCGAGGAUGACCAGCAACACGGGAACUGAGACAGGGGCAAGACUCCGACGGUGGGAAGCAGUGGGGAAGAUUGCACAAUGGGGGCAAGCCUGAUGCAGCCAUGCCGCGUGUAUGAAGAAGGCCGUAGGGUUGGAAAGUACUUGCAGCGGGGAGGCGUUACCCGCAGAAGAAGCACCGGCGAACUCCGUGCCAGCAGCCGCGGUAAUAC
rnacentral:rRNA from 1 species